GAUGAACGCUGGCGGCGUGCCUAACACAUGCAAGUCGAGCGAUGAAGGCCAGCUUGCUGGGUGGAUUAGUGGCGAACGGGUGAGUAACACGUGAGCAACCGGCCCGUGACUGUGGGAUAAGCGCUGGAAACGGCGUCUAAUACUGGAUAUAUCACAUCACCACAUGGUGUGCGGGUGGAAAGAUUUUUCGGUUGGGGAUGGGAGCGCGGCAUAUCAGCUUGUUGGGGAGGUAAUGGCUCACCAAGGCGACGACGGUGAGCCGGCCUGGGAGGGUGACCGGCCACACUGGGACUGAGACACGGCCCAGACUCCUACGGGAGGCAGCAGUGGGGAAUAUUGCACAAUGGGCGGAAGCCUGAUGCAGCAACGCCGCGUGAGGGAUGUCGGCCUUCGGGGUGGAAACCUCUUUUAGCAGGGAAGAAGCGAAAGUGACGGUACCUGCAGAAAAAGCACCGGCUAACUACGUG
rnacentral:rRNA from 1 species